rnacentral:rRNA from 1 species
CUAGAAUAAAAGUAGAAGGGUCUUCAUAACUCAAAGAAUUUGGCGGCUAAUUUUUUUCAGAGGAACCUGUAUAUUAAUUGAUAAACCACGAUAGUUUCUACUUUUUAUUUAUUUAUAUACCUCUAUAUUUAUGGAAUCUUCUUGUAGGAAAAUUUUCUUUCGAAAUUAGUUAUAAAUUUUAGGUCAAGGUGUAGUUUUUGAAGAUGUUUAUAUGGGUUAUUUUAGUUAAAAUUAUAAUUUAAGAUUAUUUUAGUUAAAUUAAUUUUUUUUAGGAUUUGAUAGUAAAAUUAAUUAAUUAAUUUUUUUGAAUAUA